rnacentral:rRNA from 1 species
GAUGAACGCUGGCGGCGUGCCUAGUACAUGCCAGUCGAGCGAACAGACGAGGAGCUUGCUCCUCUGACGUUAGCGGCGGACGGGUGAGUAACACGUGGAUAACCUACCUAUAAGACUGGGAUAACUUCGGGAAACCGGAGCUAAUACCGGAUAAUAUAUUGAACCGCAUGGUUCAAUAGUGAAAGACGGUUUUGCUGUCACUUAUAGAUGGAUCCGCGCCGCAUUAGCUAGUUGGUAAGGUAACGGCUUACCAAGGCAACGAUGCGUAGCCGACCUGAGAGGGUGAUCGGCCACACUGGAACUGAGACACGGUCCAGACUCCUACGGGAGGCAGCAGUAGGGAAUCUUCCGCAAUGGGCGAAAGCCUGACGGAGCAACGCCGCGUGAGUGAUGAAGGUCUUCGGAUCGUAAAACUCUGUUAUUAGGGAAGAACAAAUGUGUAAGUAACUAUGCACGUCUUGACGGUACCUAAUCAGAAAGCCACGGCUAACUACGUG